rnacentral:rRNA from 1 species
GUAGGGAAUAUUGCGCAAUGGACGAAAGUCUGACGCAGCGACGCCGCGUGAGUGAUGAAGGCGUUAGGGUCGUAAAGCUCUGUUGAAUGGGAAGAAAAAAAUGACGGUACCAUUCGAGGAAGGACCGGCUAACUUCGUGCCAGCAGCCGCGGUAAUACGAGGGGUCCUAGCGUUGUUCGGAAUCAUUGGGCGUAAAGGGUGUGUAGGUGGACAUGUAAGUCAGGUGUGAAAGCCCCGGGCUCAACCCGGGAAGUGCACUUGAUACUGCGUGGCUUGAGUACCGAAGACGGUAGUGGAAUUCCAGGUGUAGUGGUGAAAUACGUAGAUAUCUGGAGGAACACCGGUGGCGAAGGCGGCUACCUGGUCGAGUACUGACACUGAGUCACGAAAGCAUGGGGAACAAACAGGAUUAGAUACCCUAGUAGUCC